rnacentral:rRNA from 1 species
UACGUAGGGUGCGAGCGUUAAUCGGAAUUACUGGGCGUAAAGCGUGCGUAGGCGGUCCCGCAAGUCCGCUGUGAAAGCCCCGAGCUUAACUUGGGAACUGCAGUGGAAACUAUGGGACUUGAAUCCGGCAGAGGGGGGUGGAAUGCCACGUGUAGCAGUGAAAUGCGUAGAUAUGCGGAGGAACACCGAUGGCGAAGGCAAUCCCCUGGGCCUGCACUGACGCUCAUGCACGAAAGCGUGGGGAGCAAACAGG